rnacentral:lncRNA from 1 species
CCAUCUACAAUACAUCAAACAUGCAUUUGCAAGCCACAUUGUUCAAAAACACAACAUAAAUUCAUAAACCUAACCAUAAGCUAAACAUGCAUUCUACCCCAUAGAUCUUCAUAAAACUUACUCAAAACAUGCAAUGAGCUUAAGAUCGGCUCUUACCUCUUGAAGAUCGAGAGAGAGACGACCUAAUCUUGGAGAUGGGAGAUUUUCAACUUCCUUGGGUCUCCAAGCUCAAAACUUG